rnacentral:lncRNA from 1 species
UCAAGAUUGUAACCUAUAACUUCCUUCGAUACUAUUUUAUUUCUCAGCUUGUUUGGUUCAACGUAAAAUUAUAUGUCAGAGAGAUUAAAAUUAUCUUGUAUUUUAAUGUGCAUUUAACAUUUCUAGCUAAAUUUAUUUCUAAAUGAAAUAAACGAAGCGGGUAGCAUAUCAAAACAAACCACGCUUCACUUUCCUAAUAGCAUAUCACUAAUAACAUGCGGAGCCAAGAGGAUGGAUAUGCCACAAUUAACAUUAUCAAAUUAAGAAAGCUAAAAAAUAUAAUAAAAAAAUAUAUUAUUAUUACGAUGAAUCAGUUACGACAUAUUUUAUUUUAUUUUUAUUUUUAUUAGUGUUAGAUGAACGUCAAUCAACUUUAAAACCCUUAAAUAA